CCUACGGGGGGCUGCAGUGAGGAAUAUUGGGCAAUGGGGGCAACCCUGACCCAGCCAUGCCGCGUGAGUGAAGAAGGUCUUCGGAUUGUACAGCUCUUUCGGACGUGACGAUGAUGACGGUAGCGUCUAAAGAAGCACCGGCAAACUUCGGGCCAGCAGCCGCGGCAAUACGAAGGGUGCGAGCGUUGUACGGAAUUACUGGGCGUAAAGGGAGUGUAGGCGGAUAUGUAAGAUAGCGGUGAAAUGCCGGGGCUCAACCCCGGAACUGCCAUUAUGACUAUGUAUCUAGAGUAAUGGAGAGGAUAGCGGAAUACCCAGUGUAGAGGUGAAAUUCGUAGAUAUUGGGUAGAACACCGGUGGCGAAGGCGGCUAUCUGGACUGUAAAUGACGCUGAGGCUCGAAAGCGUGGGGAGCAAACAGGAUUAGAUACCCGAGUAGUC
rnacentral:rRNA from 1 species